rnacentral:lncRNA from 1 species
UGAUAUACUUUGAAUUUUCAGGUAGAAAGAUGAAAUGGAAUGAAGGUGAGAGUGGCCCUGGGGAUAUUUGAAGAAACCAAAUGCACAUUUUAGGAUUGAAUGCCUGCGGCACAAAUAAGGAUUUUUUCUUCCCAAGAAAGCUCCGUUUUGGCCAUCUCAUGCAUUUUUCUAGUCAAGAUCGCACAUGCAUUAAUCCCAAGUGGGCAAAGGUCAGUCUUAAACUGAAACUACUAUUUUACUAUGCAAAAAUGUGUAAGAGAUUGUUAUAUUUUAUUUCCUCCAUUUUAAAAUGCUCUUAUCUUUCAUCUGUGGUUCCUAGUCAGUAAUUGACAGUUAAGAGGAGGGAAGAGGUCAGACAACGUGACAGAGGGAGCACUUGUAAUAAAACACAGAUACAGGAAAUUGUGCUAAUAGGU